AUUGAACGCUGGCGGCAGGCCUAACACAUGCGAGUCGAGCGGAUGAAGGGAGCUUGCUCCUGGAUUCAGCGGCGGACGGGUGAGUAAUGCCUAGGAAUCUGCCUGGUAGUGGGGGAUAACGUCCGGAAACGGGCGCUAAUACCGCAUACGUCCUGAGGGAGAAAGUGGGGGAUCUUCGGACCUCACGCUAUCAGAUGAGCCUAGGUCGGAUUAGCUAGUUGGUGGGAUAAAGGCCUACCAAGGCGACGAUCCGUAACUGGUCUGAGAGGAUGAUCAGUCACACUGGAUCUGAGACACGGUCCAGACUCCUACGGGAGGCAGCAGUGGGGAAUAUUGGACAAUGGGCGAAAGCCUGAUCCAGCCAUGCCGCGUGUGUGAAGAAGGUCUUCGGAUUGUAAAGCACUUUAAGUUGGGAGGAAGGGCAGUAAGUUAAUACCUUGCUGUUUUGACGUUACCAACAGAAUAAGCACCGGCUAACUUCGUG
rnacentral:rRNA from 1 species